UACGAGAGGCCCAAACGUUAUUCGGAUUUACUGGGCUUAAAGAGUUCGUAGGCGGCGCGGAAAGUAGGGCGUGAAAGCCCUCGGCUCAACCGAGGAAUUGCGCUCUAAACUACCGUGCUUGAGGAACCUAGAGGUGAGCAGAACUGAUGGUGGAGCGGUGAAAUGCGUUGAUAUCAUCAGGAAUACCGGAGGCGAAGGCGGCUCACUGGGGGUUAUCUGACGCUGAGGAACGAAAGCCAGGGGAGCAAACGGG
rnacentral:rRNA from 1 species